UACAGAGGGGGCAAGCGUUAUUCGGAAUUAUUGGGCGUAAAGGGCGCGUAGGCGGCAUGGCAAGUGGAUGGUGAAAUCCCUCGGCUUAACCGAGGAACUGCCGUCCAAACUGCUUCGCUUGAGACCGGGAGAGGUGAGUGGAAUUCCCAGUGUAGCGGUGAAAUGCGUAGAUAUUGGGAGGAACACCUGUGGCGAAAGCGGCGCACUGGACCAUAACUGACGCUGAGGCGCGAAAGCUAGGGGAGCAAACAGG
rnacentral:rRNA from 1 species